rnacentral:lncRNA from 10 species
GGCUACACCUCAAAUACGGAUUGAAUUUUCGCAUGAGUUUUGAGGGACACCCAUUCAAAGCAUAGCACCCUUCGGCUUCAGAGAAGCUCCAGCCCUGUUGUCACCAAGCAGGUUCCCCCUAGGCAGAGCGCCAAGAAGCAGCCCAGGCGAUCCCAAGGCGCACAAGUGCUCUCACCAGGCUGCGCGCUGGCGGGUCGGUGCACAGGGACGGGGUCGCCGCCCACGCGCGCUUGGUUCAGGGAGCCCAGGCUGUCCCUACCCGCGGCUACAAAAGCUCGCCGAGUCUUCCUGUCCACCCAAUCGCCCCACAUGUCAGCGGUUGGUCGCCUCGCGGUGCAGUGCUGGGCACGCGAGCCCCUCCCGCAGUCAUUCUCAGCACAAGCACCAGCCUGGAGCCCCGCAGCGACAGAGCUGAGAGCCCCCAAGCCGCAGAGGUCGUGCGGAGCAGGCCUAAGGCAAUAGCUAAUUGAGACUAUGCAUCACUAUUAAGGCAUCUUCACUAAAGGGCGCUGUGGAAACGCUGCCUGAGAUGCAGACACCUGUCAGAAGGGGGCUAAAUUUCAAACAAGGAACGUGGUGUUGCAUCACAAUAAAGUAGAUUCUAGUAUUACCUUCCUUUUUCAGAAGAGGAGACCAAUGGGGAGCAUUGGAAUGAUUUGGUUGCAAGCAUACUACACUACUUGUAAACUGCAGACACAGGCUUAAAAAAAGUGAAAAACUAACCAUGCAAUAAAGAAUGGAAUGAACCAUGAAGCUGUUUCUGUGGCCAGUCAUGUUUUUGAAGCAUAUCCCAUGCUAAUUUCUAGAACAGAAGAAACACACGUGUUCUUGUGUGUAAACCCAGUCCAUGGAAGAGACCGUCUGCUUGUCCCUCCUGAUCUCUGGGCCCAGACAACCAGUAGUCACCAUUCCAAGUGAGGGGUGGCUGCAACUCUACAGCCCCGUUCGUCUCUCCUCACUGUCAAAGCUGCUGAGACCCCAGACUCGACACUUGAAAGAAACCCAUGUCUGUGAAGCACUUGUGGACCAUUCAAGAUUGUGGAAGAAUCACUCAAGAGAAGGAGAUAGGUGAUGGGAUCUAGCUUCUGAUGGUUUCUAUUUUAUUGAAUGUCUAAUAGGGCAAGAAUUUGAAAAACGAGAAUGUUUGCCAUGCAGGAGGACCUGGGAAGGAGAUAACACAUUUACAGGGAGAAAGAUUGGGAUUCAGUUGGGAGGAGUAACUGAGGAAAGGGGUCACUCAAAAUAUUUUGUAUUUUAGGUCCUUUUUCUAUUAAGGAGGAAUGGAUUAUCAAAGCCUUAACAUUAAAUUGUAUUGUGUCAGGUGAAUUGCUAUGGUUUGAAUGUGGUGUGUCCCCCUCCCAAACUCACAUUGAAUUUUUUUUUUUUUUUUUGAGACGGAGUCUCGCUCUGUUGCCCAGGCUGGAGUGCAGUGGUGCGAUCUUGGCUCACUACAAGCUCUGCCUCCCGGGUUCAAGAGAUUCUCCUGCCUCAGCCUCCCGAGUAGCUGGGAUUACAGAUGUUCGUCACCACACCUGGCUAAUUUUUGUAUUUUUAAUAGAGAUGGGGUUUCACUAUGUUGGCUAGGCUGGUCUCAAACUCCCGACAUCAGGUGAUCCACCCACCUCGGCCUCCCAAAGUGCUGGGAUUAGAGGAGUGAGCCACUGCACCCAGCCUCACGUUGAGGUUUAAUUGCCAUUGUAACAGUAUAAAGAUGUGGGACCUUUACGAGGUGAUUAGGCAAUGAGGACUCUGCCCUCAUGAAUGGAUUAAUGCUGUUAUCAUGGGAGUGGAUUCCUUAUAAAGGGACACGUUCAGCACCCCCUUGCUCUCUCUCUCACCUUCCGCCAUAUGAUGAUGGGGCACAAAGGCCAUCAUCAGAUGUUGGCCCCUUGUUCUCGAACUUCCCAACCUCCAGAGCAGUAAAAAAAUAAAUCACUGUUCUUUAC